CCCUCUGCCAGCAUUCUCAAAGCCAAGGCUCUCCCUGCAACACCUGCCUUGGGGGAGGGUUCAAAGAGCAUUUUGAUGGCCUGCUCAAGACCUUCCACCCACAUGGGUGACCACGGCAUCAGAUCCAAACUUCCCUCUCUGGCUGUUCACACCCUUAAACAUCUGGACUGACCCUAUUCAUUUAUUUCUUCAUUUUUAUGUAACUGGGCAGUAUAACUUCUUGCGGGUGGAAAGCCAUGCUCUGCAUUGCAGUUGAU
rnacentral:lncRNA from 1 species